rnacentral:rRNA from 1 species
UUGUCUAAAGGAUUAAGCCAUGCAUGCGAAAGUACAGACUUAUUUAAGUAGUCGAAACUGCGAACGGCUCCUUACAACAGUUAUAAUCUACUUGGGAGUUUAAUAUGGAUAACUACGGAAACACUGUAGCUAAUACAUCGUACCAGCUGAAGUAUGUACUUUUUUUAGGUAUGUAGUUUAGGGGGCAACUCGUUGGGUUUGCAGCCACCCGCAUUAAAGGGGAGUGACAACGAGGGAGCUACGCGUCAACUUUUAUUUGUCUAAAGGUUGUUUUUAGCGCGUACCAAAUGAGUUUCUGAUCUAUCAGCUGGUCGCCAAGGUAUUGUCUUGGUGUGGCUAUGACGGAUAACGGGGAAUUAGAGUUCGAUUCCGGAGAGGGCGCCUGAGAGAUGGCGACUAUAACUACGGUUAGCAGCAGGCGCGAAAAUUGCCCAAUGUCGACAAGACGAGGCAGCGACCAGACAUACCGAGGCUCCGUCUUUUUUCAAGGUGGAGUCAUUGGAUUCGAUUUCCUUUAAACUAGGAGAUGAGAGGCAGUUUAGAUCAAGUUGAAGUGCCAGCAUUCGCGGUAAUACUUCCUUAAACGAAUGUAUGUUAAAGUUGUUGCGGUUAAAACGCUCGUAGUUGAUUGUCCCGAAGAGAUUGAUUUGUCUUUUGCUUUUUUCGGAAGGCUUCGGAUGGAUUGAUUUCUAUCGGAUCGUCUUUAUAGAGUUCCUUAUUUUCGGAUGAGGUUUCUUUAGAGAUGUGUUACCUUGAGUAAAUUAGAGUGUUCCAAGCAGGCUUGUCUGUUUGAAUAUCCCAGCAUGGAAUAACUUAAUUGCGCGACGUUUCAUUAAUCCUGUAAAAAAGGAGUGUGUGGUGCGUUUUGAGGGUUAACUCUCAGAACGUCGUAUAUCGCUGCAUGAAACGUGGUGCCGAUUAAUAGGAGCAGUUGGGGGCAUCCGUACUCCGAAGCUAGAGGUGAAAUUCUGUGACUUUCGGAAGACGAACGACUGCGAAGGCACUUGCCCAAAAUGCGUCCAUUAAUCAAGAGCGAAGUUAUGGGCAUCGAAAAAGAUCAGAGACCUUUGUAAUCCAUAAAGUAAACUAUGCCAUCCGGGGCGGAGUAGGCAACGAAGGUUUGAAUCGGUUGUUUUGCACAUGCAAGUGUGUUUUGGAAUCGUUUUGGACCGCCAUGUGUUUGUUCUGCCCCCGUGAGAAAUCCGAGAUUUUGGGUUCCGGGGCGAGUAUAAGCGCAAGCUAGAAAGUUAAAAGAAUUGACGGAGGGGCACCACAAAGCGUGGAGCUUGCGGCUUAAUUUGACUCAACACGGGAAACCUCACUAGCGUAGGACAGCGGAAGGAUUGACAGGGUUGCAGACCUUUCUUGAUUCGCUGGAGGGUGAUGCAUGGCCGUUCCUAGCUCUUGGCGUGGGCUGUCUGGUUAAUUCCGAUAACGAGCGGGACCUCCCCUUUCACUUCCGCCGGGUGUCAUCCUCUCGAGAAGAUUUUUCUUAGGGGGCCUUUUUUUUGUUGUCCUCAUUACCCCAUCUACCUUUAUCGUUUGUUUCUUUUGCAAAAAAAAAGGAGCAUCGGCAAAGUGUUGGAUUGUGUGUGAGUGUACACGGAAAAGUUGUUCUUUUCCUAUGAGCAAUGUUUUCGAGGACACUUAUUUUUUCUGUUUGCGAGUGUGAAGGGACGUCACGUGUCUAACGUGAGGCAGGGAGGCAACAACAGGUCUGUGAUGUCCUCAGAUAUGCUAGGCUGCACGCGUGCUACACUGACGUGCGCAACGGGCGAAGCGUACAUUUUUUUUCUGCUUUAUUUUUCUAUUAGAAAGGUAGAGUAGAACAAAUGUUUGCCUUUCCUGAGAAGGUAAGGGAAUCCCUAAUGCGCGUCGUGACGGGGAUCGAAUCUUGCAAUUAGGAUUCUUGAACGAGGAAUGCUUAGUAAGCGCAACUCAUUAGGUUGCGCUGUAUGCGUAACUGCCCUUUGCACACACCGCCCGUCGUUGCUUUUAAUGGAGUGCCAAGUGACUUGCUUGGAGGGUUGUCGAUAGGUUUUUUUUUUUUCUUAUGGAUCUAUCGCACCAAAGCGCUGGGAACUUUGUACUCUAGAGAAAG